UCGCCGGCCUUGUUUGAGUUAUGCCUUCUUUGCGCGGUGUGGUGAUAGGCGACAGCCUGGUUAAAUUCAUGUGCAGGAGUCGCCUUCACUUGAAAACAUCCGUCGAGACCUGCGCAUUUAGUUUUGGUGGUUUUGACGCUGUGCGAAUGGCUGAGGCCGUCUCUGCGAUGCACUUUCAGCGCCUAGACUGUCGUUUUGUACGUUGGUGGUAACGACGUUUGCAGUGCCAACGCGGACCCUCAAGAUAUAUGCGACAAUAUAGGGAAGUUAGUUCUGCAACUGCAGCACGAUGUGGCCCCCGUGGUGUAUACGUCUUCAAAGUGCUGCCACGUUACUCCAGCUCUGAAGACGCCGAUGCGGAGCGCCAGAUCAAGAAAACGCGCUUGCUGAACCGCAAGCUGACGGCUACGCUGAAACGCCUGCCGUGUGUUCGAAUCUUGAACGCCGAGCAUGUUGGUCUUCAUUCGAGAGCUGUCUCACCUUUGGAUGUACAGAGGCAUCCACUUCCACCUUGAGCACCGCACCGUGCAGCCAACGCUCCGCGGAGCAUCUCUCGCGGGCGGCUGGGGCACGCAAGCGCAGUGACAACUGUAGGUGGUGCCUUCGCCGCGUCGUCUGCUAAAGCGCAGCGGCUCCGCCCAAUCGCGCUUGCUCUUCGAUGAAGCAUCGGUUUCUCAAUUCCUCGAAAGAGCCACGACGUGCGCCCUUAGCAAUUGAUGGGUACCAUGUGCACAGAGGCCAAGGGAUCGAUCAGCUGGCCAAAAUCGUCAGUUCUCUUGCUCGUGACUUCGGACCUGGAGUGAAGUCACAUGGACACAGCGAGCUGGGUAUCUGCUACAGGCUGCUGAAGUGCAGCCACUGCAACACAAAAGGCCGCGAAGUCCUGCGAGUGCAAGAUUGUGCCCCAGGGUCUUUCAAUUGAAAGUAAUACAUAUAGCAUGACCUUGCAUUAAUUAUCUUUCAUAAAUGCUAAUCACUACUCGAACAAAUCGAGAACGUUUCUGUAUUGCAGCAAAUAAAUGUAGAAAUUGCAUAUGUCAUCACACCUUUAUUGCCCAAAAAAUUGCAUUUAUUGCACAUUCAUCAAGCAAGUGACCUAUGCAGGACACUAUCUCUGCAAGCUCAGAUGUGCACGCGCAGGCCUUGCAUUUAUGGCUUUGCUAUCUUGGCAGCCCUCUGUUCUAUUGCUACCUGUGAAUGUGCCAAGCAGAUUGGUCUGAACGGCAUCACAAGUAGCUAAACACAUUUUAGAGCGCAAUGAACUGGGCUAGUUGGUACUACUUCAUUAUGCCACAGUGCGAGGAAAGAAGCCAAGGCACACAGUGCUGUGUCCCAGCUUUUUCCUCGUUCUGGGAGCACUGGAACAAUGAACAUUUGAGAACAUUCACUUGGAGCUCCUACCAUCACAUUUGGCUACAUGCUCCAAGCCCAGCUCGUCCAGACAUGAUUCAAGGCAUCACAGUUGUGUUCGCAUACAUCAUCUGUGUAGAGAACAAGUUAUUUUGAAUUGAAAAAUGGCCAUCCACCUGUUUUGUACAAGGCUACCAGGAAAUCCAUACUGAUUUCUCAGAAAGGAAGACAAAAAAUUCGUACUGUUCCUGGGCUCAAGCCUGGAACCAACACCUUUCCAGGGCUGUUUCUCUACAACUGAGAUAGCCAGUAGG